CCAGCACCCGCGGUAAUUCCAGCUCCAAUAGCGUAUAUUAAAGUUGUUGCAGUUAAAAAGCUCGUAGUUGGAUUUCUGGUCGGGGCGGUCGGUCCGGCGUUCCCUCUGUGGGCGUCGCGCACCAUGUCCUGCUCCGGCCAUCGUCGGGGAAGGCGGCGCUGGCAUUGAGUUGUCGGCGUCGCGUCGGCCCCGUCAUUUACUGUGAGCAAAAUAGAGUGUUCAAAGCAGGCUUACGCCGUUGAAUACAUUAGCAUGGAAUAAUAAGAUACGACCUUGGGUCUAUUUUGUUGGUUUGCGGUCCGAGGUAAUGAUUAAUAGGGACAGUUGGGGGUAUUCGUAUUCAAUUGUCA
rnacentral:rRNA from 1 species